AUAGGGGAGCCGGAGGGAAACCGAGUCUUAAUUGGGCGUUAAGUUGCAGGGUAUAGACCCGAAACCCGGUGAUCUAGCCAUGGGCAGGUUGAAGGUUGGGUAACACUAACUGGAGGACCGAACCGACUAAUGUUGAAAAAUUAGCGGAUGACCUGUGGCUGGGGGUGAAAGGCCAAUCAAACCGGGAGAUAGCUGGUUCUCCCCGAAAGCUAUUUAGGUAGCGCCUCGUGAAUUCAUCUCCGGGGGUAGAGCACUGUUUCGGCUAGGGGGCCAUCCCGGCUUACCAACCCGAUGCAAACUGCGAAUACCGGAGAAUGUUAUCACGGGAGACACACGGCGGGUGCUAACGUCCGUCGUGAAGAGGGAAACAACCCAGACCGCCAGCUAAGGUCCCAAAGUCAUGGUUAAGUGGGAAACGAUGUGGGAAGGCCCAGACAGCCAGGAUGUUGGCUUAGAAGCAGCCAUCAUUUAAAGAAAGCGUAAUAGCUCACUGGUCGAGUCGGCCUGCGCGGAAGAUGUAACGGGGCUAAACCAUGCACCGAAGCUGCGGCAGCGACACUGUGUGUUGUUGGGUAGGGGAGCGUUCUGUAAGCCUGUGAAGGUGUGUCGUGAGGCAUGCUGGAGGUAUCAGAAGUGCGAAUGCUGACAUAAGUAACGAUAAAGCGGGUGAAAAGCCCGCUCGCCGGAAGACCAAGGGUUCCUGUCCAACGUUAAUCGGGGCAGGGUGAGUCGACCCCUAAGGCGAGGCCGAAAGGCGUAGUCGAUGGGAAACGGGUUAAUAUUCCCGUACUUGGUGUUACUGCGAAGGGGGGACGGAGAAGGCUAUGUUGGCCGGGCGACGGUUGUCCCGGUUUAAGCGUGUAGGUGUGUGUUCCAGGUAAAUCCGGUUCACUUUAACACUGAGGCGUGACGACGAGGCACUACGGUGCUGAAGCAACAAAUGCCCUGCUUCCAGGAAAAGCCUCUAAGCAUCAGGUAACAUCAAAUCGUACCCCAAACCGACACAGGUGGUCAGGUAGAGAAUACCAAGGCGCUUGAGAGAACUCGGGUGAAGGAACUAGGCAAAAUGGUGCCGUAACUUCGGGAGAAGGCACGCUGACACGUAGGUGAAGUGAUUUACUCAUGGAGCUGAAGUCAGUCGAAGAUACCAGCUGGCUGCAACUGUUUAUUAAAAACACAGCACUGUGCAAACACGAAAGUGGACGUAUACGGUGUGACGCCUGCCCGGUGCCGGAAGGUUAAUUGAUGGGGUCAGCGCAAGCGAAGCUCCUGAUCGAAGCCCCGGUAAACGGCGGCCGUAACUAUAACGGUCCUAAGGUAGCGAAAUUCCUUGUCGGGUAAGUUCCGACCUGCACGAAUGGCGUAAUGAUGGCCAGGCUGUCUCCACCCGAGACUCAGUGAAAUUGAACUCGCUGUGAAGAUGCAGUGUACCCGCGGCAAGACGGAAAGACCCCGUGAACCUUUACUAUAGCUUGACACUGAACAUUGAGCCUUGAUGUGUAGGAUAGGUGGGAGGCUUUGAAGCGUGGACGCCAGUCUGCGUGGAGCCGACCUUGAAAUACCACCCUUUAAUGUUUGAUGUUCUAACGUGGACCCGUAAUCCGGGUUGCGGACAGUGUCUGGUGGGUAGUUUGACUGGGGCGGUCUCCUCCUAAAGAGUAACGGAGGAGCACGAAGGUUGGCUAAUCCUGGUCGGACAUCAGGAGGUUAGUGCAAUGGCAUAAGCCAGCUUGACUGCGAGCGUGACGGCGCGAGCAGGUGCGAAAGCAGGUCAUAGUGAUCCGGUGGUUCUGAAUGGAAGGGCCAUCGCUCAACGGAUAAAAGGUACUCCGGGGAUAACAGGCUGAUACCGCCCAAGAGUUCAUAUCGACGGCGGUGUUUGGCACCUCGAUGUCGGCUCAUCACAUCCUGGGGCUGAAGUAGGUCCCAAGGGUAUGGCUGUUCGCCAUUUAAAGUGGUACGCGAGCUGGGUUUAGAACGUCGUGAGACAGUUCGGUCCCUAUCUGCCGUGGGCGCUGGAGAACUGAGGGGGGCUGCUCCUAGUACGAGAGGACCGGAGUGGACGCAUCACUGGUGUUCGGGUUGUCAUGCC
rnacentral:rRNA from 1 species